UACGGAGGGGGCUAGCGUUGUUCGGAAUUACUGGGCGUAAAGCGCACGUAGGCGGCUUUGUAAGUUAGAGGUGAAAGCCCGGAGCUCAACUCCGGAAUUGCCUUUAAGACUGCAUCGCUAGAAUUGUGGAGAGGUGAGUGGAAUUCCGAGUGUAGAGGUGAAAUUCGUAGAUAUUCGGAAGAACACCAGUGGCGAAGGCGACUCACUGGACACAUAUUGACGCUGAGGUGCGAAAGCGUGGGGAUCAAACAGG
rnacentral:rRNA from 1 species